rnacentral:lncRNA from 1 species
UGGAAUUUGUAUUAAUGUUUGCAAGGGCUGUUAAGGCAUUUGACCAAGCCUGUCUAGCCAAUGAAACAGCAACCUCAAAUCAUUAAAUCAGCUAAGCUACAAGUCAUUUGUGAGGCAUGUUGUAUAGCAUAAUACUGUCACUUCCAAAGCCACUUUUUCUUGAGCUACUUCACUGCUUUUCUUUGCAGUUUAAAUACUAGCAAGAGGAAUCAUUCUUGGAAGGGCACGGUCAUCUGUGAGCAAGACUGUGGGAAGUCUCCAUUCUCAGCAGAAGGAAGAAGUUGAGCCUGGAAAGAAAGCCCUUCCUCUCCAGAGAAAAAAUCUGUUUGUUCAGAAUUCAUCCUAACUGAUUAGCACUGGUGAAACAUUGUGCUUUUGUGUCUUGGAACAGCCUUAAACCUUUUCAUUGUUACACAUGAUGAAGACUAACACAGCAACCAAGGGGUCAUAUAAAUCUACCUACCCUUAUGCUAACGCGAAAUAACUAACAUUUCUAUGGAUUGCAGUAUUCAUUGCCACAAAUUGGCAAAUUUGAAGACUGUUUUGUUGUGUGCUCCAGAUAGUAGUUUUUUUAAAUGUCUCAAACUGAGAAAGAGCUGUCAAAGAACUUCAGAAAACUUCUAAAUAAUACAGUUCCUAUGCUCGCCUGCCCACUUCAUCCGGGCUGGAAUCCAGCUGACAAGUACUCAGAGGGGCUGGAGGUGGAAUCCAGUUUGGAUGACAGUUGCUAAAAACUCAUUUAUUUUCCAGGCAGUAACAUUUAUUUAAUUUCCAUUUUAAUAGACUGUUAUUUCAAAUAUUAAUCAACCUACCUGCUACCUUCAAGCAUCUCUCAUUCUAGGCACAAAAUAAAGAAAAAUACUUGCUGUCA